rnacentral:misc_RNA from 1 species
AACAAGGCGUACCUGCGGACCUGCGGAAGGAUCAUUAUCGAGUGUAACCUACCCCGUAAAAAGGGUGGUACCUCCCGUCCUUUGCAGGCCCCCCCUUUUGAUGGGGGGCUUUUUAAGACUUUCUGCUUCGGCGGGGUUACUCCCGCCGGAACACCCUCAAAAAAAUCUUGAUUAAAAACCGUUCAGUCCGAGAAUUUUGAAAAUUAAAAACUUUUAACAAUGGAUCUCAGAUCGGAAGAG